UUUGGGUGAACUACCUCUUUAAAAUGUAGCCUUACUUGAACUGGUAGUUAAUAAUUAAUGACGUUUUUUUGGGAUCUUCUUAUGCUUGUUUGAGAAUGAAGACAUAAACACCAGGCGUGUGAUUGUAUCCUGAGGUGCCUAAGUGUCUACCUCAACGAAGACAUUGAGACACUUGUCAAAGAAUAUGUGGACACUGAAAGUGUGGAGGCUGAGUCUCUCAUUGCACAGACAACAAUGGGCAUCUAUGUCAUUCGAGCGGAGGGCGCUGGUCCUGAAGAAGAACCUUCAGAUGUUGUGUGUUGUUCUUGAAGGAGUUGAAGUUCUGCAAAACCCUGCCAAGUGUCACACUUGGAUGUGUGAUGCUUUUUGGACUAAUUUAUGCCCUUAACUUAAACUAUCCAAAGGACCUCAAGUGCACAUUUGAAGCAUUUCAGAAAAUCCUGAUGGAACUGGAUACAACCAAGCUGUCGCCAAAAGUUCAGGGACUGAAAAUUAAGAUGCUUCAGUGAAUCAUUGAGAGAUAUGCUGAUAUUUACAUUUUUCCUCUUGACUUGCACUUUUUCUACUCGUUAGAAUCACCACCCUAUUUUUUCCAAAUUAUUGCAUGUCACAGAUUUGUGAAAAUGUUUGUGUAAUGUUAACAAGUAUUGUCAUUGAAUCAGAUUUUGACCUGAUUGUUAUGUCUACCUCAAGUUUUGCAGUUUUUUUUAAGCACAGUUCUUGAGGAAAAAGUAAUAUGCUUGCAGUCUGUUAAAAUCCUUUGCAUUUAUUUGUUAUAGGAUGAUUGUGGCAAAAAAAUACAUAAAUAAUUAAAGUAGUGCAAUUAACCUUGGUGUGUUAAGUAAAGAAUGAAAGUACUUUAUUUUUUGUUGAGGUUGCACACAACACAGUAUCAGUGAGCACAGACUGUCUUGCUAGCUCCUCUUUUUGCUGCCUUUUGUGCUUGUUAUUUCUAAAAUAAAAAUGUGAAAUGAA